GACGAACGCUGGCGGCGCGCUUAACACAUGCAAGUCGAGCGAUAACCAUGGCUUCGGCUAUGGGGAGGAGCGGCGAACGGGUGAGUAAACACGUGAGUAAAUCUGCCCUCGACACUGGGAUAGCCCGGGGAAACCCGGAUUAAUACCGGAUAGCCUCUCGAGCUUUCGGGCUCGUGAGAAAAGAUGGCUUCGGCAUUCGGUUGAGGAGGAGCUUGCGGCGGAUUAGCUUGUUGGUGAGGUAACGGCCCACCAAGGCGACGAUCCGUAGCUGGUCUGAGAGGACGAUCAGCCACACUGGGACUGAGACACGGCCCAGACUCCUACGGGAGGCAGCAGUGGGGAAUCUUGCGCAAUGGGCGAAAGCCUGACGCAGCGACGCCGCGUGAGGAAGAA
rnacentral:rRNA from 1 species